rnacentral:rRNA from 1 species
AUUGAACGCUGGCGGCAGGCCUAACACAUGCAAGUCGAGCGGUAGAGAGGAGCUUGCUUCUCUUGAGAGCGGCGGACGGGUGAGUAAUGCCUAGGAAUCUGCCUGAUAGUGGGGGAUAACGUCCGGAAACGGACGCUAAUACCGCAUACGUCCUACGGGAGAAAGUGGGGGCUCUUCGGACCUCACGCUAUCAGAUGAGCCUAGGUCGGAUUAGCUAGUUGGUGGGGUAAAGGCUCACCAAGGCGACGAUCCGUAACUGGUCUGCGAGGAUGAUCAGUCACACUGGAACUGAGACACGGUCCAGACUCCGACGGGAGGCAGCAGUGGGGAAUAUUGGACAAUGGGCGAAAGCCUGAUCCAGCCAUGCCGCGUGUGUGAAGAAGGUCUUCGGAUUGUAAAGCACUUUAAGUUGGGAGGAAGGGUCGUUACCUAAUACGUGACGAUUUUGACGUUACCGACAGAAUAAGCACCGGCUAACUCUGUGCCAGCCGCCGCCGUAA